CUUUAACUGGCGGAUAUAGUUAACGAGAUAUCAAGAUGGCUGUGAGCAAUGAUACAAUUUGUGCCUUCAUCGAUACUAGAACUACUAUUUUGGCAAUGGAAUUCGAUUCUGGAAUAAUUAUUGCUGCAGAUACCCACACAAGUGGUGGUCAGUACAUAGAUAAAACAGUGACGCAGUGGCAGUGCCGCUGAUACGCAGGCUGUGGCUGAUUUAGUUCAAGCAAUGUAUUUCCCCAACCUUAUCUAUCGCUUGCAAUCUCAGUUAUUAGCUGGUGUAAUUGUUGCUGGCUAUGAUGACUCUGAAGGUGGUCACGUUUACACAAUCUUACAUGUUAGUAUGGGGGUACCUUAGCCAAUAGCUAUUGAAGGUUCUGGAUCACGUUUUAUUUUCGUAUUCGCAAAAGAUAAGUAUCAUGCUGGAAUGAAACAGGAUGAAUGUGUUGCUUUUGCUGUAAGUGCUAUAAAUCAUGCACAGAUCUGUGAUGGUAUCUCAGGUGGAGUGGUACUUAUUAGCAUUAUUAGCUUCUGGUAUAGGGCAAAGAAAUUUCAAAAGUCUGCACUGGUGAAGGCUGAAGUGAUGC